rnacentral:rRNA from 1 species
AUUGAACGCUGGCGGCAGGCCUAACACAUGCAGGUCGAGCGGAUGAAAGGAGCUUGCUCCUGGAUUCAGCGGCGGACGGGUGAGUAAUGCCUAGGAAUCUGCCUGGUAGUGGGGGACAACGUUUCGAAAGGAACGCUAAUACCGCAUACGUCCUACGGGAGAAAGCAGGGGACCUUCGGGCCUUGCGCUAUCAGAUGAGCCUAGGUCGGAUUAGCUAGUUGGUGAGGUAAUGGCUCACCAAGGCGACGAUCCGUAACUGGUCUGAGAGGAUGAUCAGUCACACUGGAACUGAGACACGGUCCAGACUCCUACGGGAGGCAGCAGUGGGGAAUAUUGGACAAUGGGCGAAAGCCUGAUCCAGCCAUGCCGCGUGUGUGAAGAAGGUCUUCGGAUUGUAAAGCACUUUAAGUUGGGAGGAAGGGUUGUAGAUUAAUACUCUGCAAUUUUGACGUUACCGACAGAAUAAGCACCGGCUAACUCUGUGCCAGCCGCCGCCGUAACAC